rnacentral:lncRNA from 1 species
UUGGAGUUAAUUUAUUUCUAGAACAUACCAGCCUACUCUCUAACCCUCUCUACUACUCGUGAAACUAAAGUCAAGGUUGAAGUCCUUGCUCUAUAAAUUUUCUAGAACAGUGUAGUGUGUAGACAUGCAUGAUGUGAUUUUACAGUAGUACUAGUACCAGUGAAGUUUGACAAUGUAGUAGUACUACAAGUCUCUAGCUAGGUCCUGAAGCUUCCUACAUAUCAGUUUAUCAAGCCUAUAAAUAGAAAGCCAGUGCAUGUGUAUAGACUGAUGAUGGUGUGCUGCCCAACGUACAAGCAAGUGUACUGUUCAGUCCUCAAGCAAGCAAGUAAAGAAACCAGUUAAAACUAGCACAAGCUUCUCUGCUCCUCUUCUCUGAUCCCCUGCUUAGGAAAUAUUUAGCACCAACAACUGGUAUCAGAGCGCCCAGGUUCGAGUAGGGCGUGACAGAGUAGCACGGCGUAUCGGUAUUGUCAAUUGAAGCUACAAGUAUGGCUUCAAGUUCGGGCGCCACAAUGGCGCAGUCUAUGGUUCCUGUAUUUGCAGGAGAAAAUUAUGAUAUAUGGAGCAUCAAGAUGCGGACGCUGCUGCUAUCUCAAGGAUUGUGGGAUAUUGUUGAGAAUGGCUAUCAAGAGUAUUCCGCUGGAGAAACUCUUACGGCGGAACAGAAAAAGUCUUUGGCAGAGGAUCGGAUGUCGGACGCCAAGGCCUUGUUCUUGAUCCAACAAGGAGUUGCGGAAAGUCUAUUUCCACGUAUUAUUGGCGCCAAGAAAUCCAAGGAAGCAUGGGACAAGUUGAAGGAGGAGUUUCAAGGAUCUCAGAAGGUACUUGCGGUGAAGCUUCAAACCUUGAGAAGACAAUUUCAGAAUUUGCUAAUGAAGGAGUCAGAGAAGGUAAAAGACUAUUUCUCAAGAGUUAUUGAGAUCGUUAAUCAGAUGCGCCUCUAUGGUGAAGAUAUAAACGACCAGAAGGUUGUGGAGAAAAUUUUAAUCAGUCUGCCUGAAAAAUACGAGUACAUUGUUGCUGCUAUUGAGGAGUCGAAAGACUUGUCGAAAGACUCGUUGGAAUCUCAUGAAGAAAGAAAGCUUCAGCGCGAAGGGAGCUCUAUUGAAAAUGCAUUUCAGUCAAAGUUGAGCUUCAGGCCUCAAAACUCAAGGUUUCGCGGAAAUUUUCAAAAAAAUGGAUUUCCAAUGCGAGACCGUGGUUAUUUUCAGAAAAAUGGCUUUUCCAGGCAGAAGGAAGAUGGUCAAGAGAGAAGAGAAAAAGGUACGUCCAGUUCAAAUUUGUGGUGUGACAUUUGCCAAAAAUCUAGUCAUACUACAGAUAUGUGCUGGAAGAAAAUGACCUGCAACAAGUGCAAAAGAAAGGGCCAUAUUGCAAAAUAUUGCAGAACUCGAGAAAUUAAUCGGGCUAAUUUUUCACAAGAAAAGGAAAAAUCUGAAGAAAUGGUUUUCUCUUGCCAUACUGCUCAAGAAGAAAAAGAUGAUGUUUGGGUUAUUGACAGUGGUUGUACAAACCAUAUGGCCGCUGAUCCAAAUUUAUUUCGAGAAAUGGAUUCAUCGUAUCAUGCAAAGAUCCACAUGGGAAAUGGCUCUAUAGCCCAAAGUGAAGGCAAAGGUACGGUUGCUGUUCAAACAGCAGACGGUCCAAAAUUUAUAAAAGAUGUUUUGUUGGUACCCGAUUUAAAGCAAAAUUUGCUAAGUAUUGGGCAGCUUCUAGAACACGGGUACGCGGUUUAUUUUGAAGAUUUUUCUUGCAAAAUAUUGGACCGUAAAAAUAAUCGUCUGGUCGCUAAAAUAAAUAUGGAGAAGAAUAGAAAUUUUCUAUUAAGGAUGAAUCAUACAACUCAAAUGGCUCUCAGAAGUGAAGUUGAUAUUUCCGAUUUAUGGCACAAAAGAAUGGGUCAUCUUAAUUACAGAGCAUUGAAGCUACUCAGGACAAAAGGUAUGGUUCAAGGCCUUCCAUUUAUUACUCUCAAGUCUGACCCAUGUGAAGGUUGUGUAUUUGGAAAACAAAUCCGGGCUUCUUUUCCCCACAGUGGAGCUUGGAGAGCAAGUGCACCAUUGGAACUAGUGCACGCUGAUAUAGUUGGUAAAGUGCCAACAAUUUCAGAAGGAGGAAAUUGGUACUUUAUCACAUUUAUCGAUGAUUAUACAAGAAUGAUCUGGGUAUAUUUUCUAAAAGAAAAAUCUGCAGCCUUGGAGAUAUUCAAAAAAUUCAAGGCCAUGGUGGAAAAUCAGAGUAAUCGAAAAAUUAAAGUAUUGCGCAGCGAUCAAGGAAGAGAAUAUAUCUCAAAAGAAUUUGAGAAAUAUUGUGAAAAUGCUGGCAUCCGAAGACAGCUAACGGCAGGCUAUAGUGCUCAACAAAAUGGAGUUGCAGAACGGAAAAAUCGGACGAUCAAUGAUAUGGCCAAUUCUAUGCUCCAAGACAAAGGUAUGCCUAAAUCUUUCUGGGCUGAAGCAGUUAAUACUGCAGUUUAUAUUUUAAAUAGAAGUCCUACCAAGGCAGUAACAAACCGUACACCUUUUGAAGCUUGGUAUGGUAAAAAGCCUGUCAUUGGUCAUAUGAGAGUAUUUGGUUGCAUUUGCUAUGCUCAAGUGCCAGCACAAAAGAGAGUAAAAUUUGAUAAUAAAAGUGAUCGGUGCAUAUUUGUUGGCUAUGCUGAUGGUAUCAAAGGCUAUAGACUUUAUAAUUUGGAGAAAAAGAAAAUUAUCAUUAGCAGAGAUGCGAUUUUUGAUGAGAGUGCUACAUGGAACUGGAAGUCUCCAGAAGCCUCUAGUACUCCAUUAUUGCCAACCACUACCAUCACACUAGGCCAACCACAUAUGCAUGGCACUCAUGAAGUGGAAGAUCAUACUCCAAGUCCACAGCCAUCAAGUCCAAUGUCAAGCUCAAGUGCUAGUUCAGAUUCAAGCCCGAGCAGUGAAGAGCAAAUUUCUACACCGGAAUCAGCUCCAAGACGGGUAAGAAGUAUGGUUGAAUUAUUAGAAUCUACUUCUCAACAAAGAGGGUCAGAACAACAUGAAUUUUGCAAUUAUUCAGUUGUUGAGCCACAAAGUUUCCAAGAAGCAGAAAAACAUGAUAAUUGGAUAAAGGCCAUGGAAGAUGAGAUUCAUAUGAUUGAGAAAAAUAAUACAUGGGAGUUGGUUGAUCGUCCUAGGGACAGAGAAGUUAUUGGAGUUAAGUGGGUUUAUAAGACAAAAUUAAAUCCAGAUGGCUCAGUUCAGAAAUACAAGGCAAGACUUGUGGCAAAAGGCUUUAAGCAAAAGCCUGGGAUUGAUUAUUAUGAGACAUAUGCUCCUGUUGCCAGGCUAGAGACAAUUCGUACCAUAAUUGCUCUAGCAGCUCAAAAGAGGUGGAAGAUAUAUCAACUUGAUGUUAAAUCGGCUUUCUUAAAUGGUUAUCUUGAUGAAGAAAUCUAUGUUGAACAACCUGAAGGGUUUUCAGUCCAAGGGGGAGAAAAUAAGGUAUUCAGACUCAAGAAGGCUUUAUAUGGAUUAAAGCAAGCGCCUAGAGCGUGGUAUAGUCAAAUUGACAAGUACUUUAUUCAGAAAGGAUUUGCCAAGAGCAUAAGUGAGCCUACUCUAUAUGUCAACAAAACAGGUACGGAUAUCCUAAUCGUCUCACUCUAUGUUGACGAUUUGAUAUAUACUGGCAAUAGUGAGAAGAUGAUGCAAGACUUUAAAAAAGAUAUGAUGCAUACAUAUGAAAUGAGUGAUCUGGGCUUGCUCCACUAUUUUCUCGGUAUGGAAGUGCAUCAAAGUGAUGAAGGAAUAUUUAUAUCACAAAGGAAAUAUGCUGAAAAUAUUCUGAAGAAAUUUAAGAUGGAUAACUGCAAGUCAGUUACAACCCCCUUGUUGCCAAAUGAAAAGCAAAAGGCUAGAGAUGGAGCUGAUAAGGCAGAUCCAACAAUUUACAGAAGCUUAGUUGGAAGUUUAUUAUAUUUGACCGCAACACGACCGGAUAUUAUGUUUGCGGCAAGUUUAUUAUCAAGAUAUAUGUCUAGCCCAAGUCAAUUAAAUUUUACCGCUGCAAAGAGAGUUUUGCGGUAUAUCAAAGGGACCGCAGAUUAUGGUAUAUGGUAUAAGCCAGUUAAAGAAUCAAAAUUAAUUGGCUACACGGACAGUGACUGGGCUGGAUGUCUUGACGAUAUGAAGAGCACAUCAGGCUACGCUUUCUCACUUGGUUCAGGUAUGUGCUCCUGGUCUACAAAAAAACAAAAUAUUGUCGCUUUAUCUUCAGCCGAAGCAGAAUAUGUAGCAGCAUCAAAAGCUGUUUCACAAGUUGUUUGGUUGAGGAGAAUUAUGGAAGAUCUGGGCGAGAAGCAAUAUCAGCCUACUACAAUUUAUUGCGACAGUAAGUCUGCAAUUGCGAUCAGCGAAAAUCCAGUCAGUCAUGACAGGACGAAACAUAUUGCUAUCAAGUAUCAUUAUAUCCGGGAAGCAGUUGAUCGCCAGGAAGUUAAAUUGGAAUUUUGCCGAACUGAUGAGCAGUUGGCAGAUAUAUUUACCAAGGCUUUAUCCAAAGAAAAAUUUGUCCGCGACAGAGAGCUCAUCGGAGUUUGCAAGAAAUAAAUUAAGGGGGAGUUUGUUGGAGUUAAUUUAUUUCUAGAACAUACCAGCCUACUCUCUAACCCUCUCUACUACUCGUGAAACUAAAGUCAAGGUUGAAGUCCUUGCUCUAUAAAUUUUCUAGAACAGUGUAGUGUGUAGACAUGCAUGAUGUGAUUUUACAGUAGUACUAGUACCAGUGAAGUUUGACAAUGUAGUAGUACUACAAGUCUCUAGCUAGGUCCUGAAGCUUCUUACAUAUCGGUUUAUCAAGCCUAUAAAUAGAAAGCCAGUGCAUGUGUAUAGACUGAUGAUGGUGUGCUGCCCAACGUACAAGCAAG